rnacentral:rRNA from 1 species
GGGUGAGUAACGCGUGAGGAACCUGCCUUUCAGAGGGGGACAACAGUUGGAAACGACUGCUAAUACCGCAUGAUACAUUUGGGUGGCAUCAUCUGAAUGUCAAAGAUUUAUCGCUGAAAGAUGGCCUCGCGUCUGAUUAGCUGGUUGGUGAGGUAACGGCCCACCAAGGCGACGAUCAGUAGCCGGACUGAGAGGUUGACCGGCCACAUUGGGACUGAGAUACGGCCCAGACUCCUACGGGAGGCAGCAGUGGGGAAUAUUGGGCAAUGGGCGCAAGCCUGACCCAGCAACGCCGCGUGAAGGAAGAAGGCUUUCGGGUUG